CAGUUCGUCCGCCUGCCGUGCGGCAUCCACCGCGAACUCUCUCGCCCCGCAGAGAGCAGCAGCAUCCUCACCCUGCGACUCACUGGAUACAACUGGUCGCCGACGUGUGCGCGCUGUCUUCUGCUUCCACCGGCAGCUCGUUUUUCGACGAUGGCCGAGAGCGAGGCGGACACGCCGAGCACGCCGAUUGAGUUUGAGAGCAGAUACUUCGAGUUCGAUGGAGUGCGGCUGCCCCCCUUCUGCAGGGGGAAGAUGGAGGAGAUCGCCAAUUUCUCCCUCAGAAGCAGCGACAUAUGGAUUGUCACCUACCCGAAGUCAGGCACCAGUCUGCUUCAGGAGGUCGUGUAUUUAGUGAGCCAGGGUGCCGACCCAGAUGAAAUCGGUCUCAUGAACAUUGAUGAGCAGCUGCCCGUCUUAGAGUACCCCCAACCCGGCCUGGAUAUCAUACAGGAGCUUACGUCCCCUCGACUGAUCAAGAGCCACCUUCCUUACAGAUUCCUCCCAACGGCCAUGCACAAUGGAGAGGCCAAGGUGAUCUACAUGGCUCGCAACCCUAAGGACCUGGCAGUGUCCUACUACCAGUUCCACCGCUCUCUGAGGACCAUGAGCUACAGAGGAAGCUUCCAGGAGUUCUGCCGACGCUUCAUGAAUGACAAGUUGGGAUAUGGUUCCUGGUUUGAUCAUGUUCAAGAGUUUUGGGAGCAUCGUAUGGACUCUAACGUCCUCUUCUUGAAAUAUGAAGACAUGUAUAAGGAUCUGGGGACGUUGGUGGAGCAGUUAGCCCGGUUCCUUGGUGUUUCCUGUGACAAGGCUCAGCUGGAGAGCAUGGGGGAGAGCUGCAACCAGCUCAUUGAGCAGUGCUGCAACUCGGAGGCACUGUCCAUCUGCAGGGUGCAUGGGCGUCUGGUGUGUGGUGUGCUUUAGGUUGAGCACACAGCUGGCGGUCAGUCCACAACAGAAUCUGUCAGGUGGAUGGUCAGAAUUCAUGUGGGUUUUACAUCAGUCGUCAUGUAGAAGAGCGGCACAUCAUGACUCCUAAACAGGGCAACACGAGGACAAGUAUCUCAAUAAAGAAAUCCCCCAAUCUGUGGCCUCAAAAACAAAGGUCGCGUGGGUCUGUGGAAGGACAUCUUCACAGUGUCCAUGAAUGACAAGUUUGACUCGCUGUACAGACAGAAGAUGGGCAAGUCUGACCUAACCUUUGACUUCGGCCUGUGAAGACCCCAUUCCUCCUCGGCCCCCUCCCAUUGACCCACAUCAGUAGUGAAGACAAAGCCCGCGCUCUGCUCAACCAGUCUGACGUUCUGAUCGCGGCACAGGACUUCUCGCCGAAUGCAAUCAGCGUAAUCACAGAUCACACACAACAAAUCCAGAAUUUUGAGGAGUUUCUCAAUCAAUAGUUAAACCAAACCUCCUUCGCCCCGCCCUCCACAGUAUGCUCUUACUGCUGUCUCUGUGUGUCUGUAUAUACUGUCCACUGAUGUGAUAUGGAUUCAAACUACACAAAGAUAUUUGUGAUUGAAAUACACUGAAAAUCACUUGUCAACGUGGAUAGACUUCACCAUUCGGUGUGUUCAUAUCAAGGCUGUUCACUUUCUGGACCAAGUUGCUCUGUGUGUAAGAAAGUCAAGUCUGACCACGUAACUGUUUCCUAUGUUCUAAUCUGCCACAUUCAGAAAGUCUGCUGCUGUCAGGUUGAGAUGAAACAACUGUUCAAAUGGAGCUCAUGGCGCGCGCACACAGACACACACACGCACGUACACACACGCACACACACACACACACACACACACACUCUCUCUCUCUCUCUUUCUGAGGUGCUCAUGCAUGCAGACAAAAAGUGAUAAGAAGAAUUAGAAAACAGAGCUUUAUAUACAGUACGUUCAAAUCCUGCCUAGUUUCUUUUUUCUAUACACCCACCCAUCGCUUUGCGAAGUGGGCACCCUGAUGCCAGCAUCAGUAGGAAGCUGGGUGAAGGAUUCAGGUGCUGUUCGACGAUCCAACACACUGAUGGCUUAAGGCUUUUUGAACCGUUCCCGAUCUGGCCCCAGAAGAUUCUAGGGCCGCCCUCAGGGGGAGCUGGAGAGAGUAGCUGGGGACAGGUGCAUGCAGGCUAAGGAGGGUUUUCGUGGUCUAAUAGUCGGUAGCUCGGGCAGAAUCAGGCGCAAGUGGUUAUGCCCCAAGUGGAGAGAAGAAGAGGCAAUUUGGGCCAGUUCAAGCUGAUGUUUCCAGAAGGGCAUACAUAUAAUAUCUUGUUUAAACUUUUUUUUAAAGCUAACUUUAUUUAAAGCAUUAUUAUUAUUAUUAUUAUUAUUAGUGUUAUUAUUAUUAUUAUUAUCAUUAUUAAUAAUAAUAAUUCUUAUUUUUUUGCCAUCUGACAUUUUAGCUUAUCAUGAAGUUGAUAUGGAGAAAGAUGCUGUAGAUACAGUAUAGAGCCACAUGAAUUCAUGCUCCCAGCCACUAGAUGAAUGUAUAUUUGGAUCUCUGCCACUGUAGCUGCUACAUGUGGCAGAGAUCACAGUCACUGUAGCUACUGGAGCAGUGCCAGUAGCUACAGUGACUGGGCAAGUUGCUUCCUGCUGCUGCUGCAGCUGAAAUUGAAGUUGAACCAAAGAAGUGGGCUGAAAGAUGCUUCAAGGCUCUGUUGACCUGAGAGAAACUAGAGUGAUAUAAGUCAUGUGAUCUAUUUUUGAUGUAAUAAAAAUAUAUAUUAGUGCAGCUUUAAAGUUAACUAAUCAGCUAAUUUGUGACUUAAUUGCGAGUGACCCCGUGGAAUGCUACUGUGUGACUCUGCUAGUGCAGUCCUGCAUUCAACCUCUGCUUACACGUGUGAUUUUCAGUGCAUAUCAGCCACAAAUAUACACACAUACUGAAUAAUUGACUCUGAUCUCUGUGGUUCCCAGGAUAAAGCCUCUAAAUAAAAGAUGUCAACCAUCAUGGGACACAAAGACUCCCCAGGAUAGCCCAGGCUAAUGAAUAGAUGUAAUAAACUAAGAUAUGGUUAGUAACGCAGCCACAUACACACAUUUAUUGGUGGCUGAACUGGAAGACAUGAAUUAACUCAAACAGCAGCACCCUGCAGUGGCUCAGAUGUCGUCUGAUGGCUGAGAAAGUAUUGUUGAGCAAAGACACGUAGAAAACAAAACGCUGACGGCAAAAACAGUGUUUUUAUGCUAUGGUCAGUUGUGAAAUUUGCUUCAUGUUCUUUUUCAGUGGAACCUAAAUGUCGUAAAUACACAUUUACUUAAUUUUGUUACUUAAUUUUGUCGGUUUGUAUCCAUCGAUUUCAAUUGCAAUACAAAUCUUUAAAAGCUGUAUUUUCAAAUUUAAUUAUUUUCCUCAUGCUCUGAGUCAGAAAUCUCCAAUUCACUAUUGCAAGAUUAACCAGACAUUCCCGUGGCUAAUUAUUGUUCAGGACUACAUUCUGAAGUUUCUUAGAGGGAGAUCUGUUCAUGUAUUAUUCGGUCUCAUUUUUAGAACAUUUAAUUCAUAAAAUAAAUGGUGAAAAAUA